GGCCCUCCUUGGCCGGGCCUGGAAGUGCCUGGCGCGCUGGGGUUGUUCUGCAGACUAAGGAAAGAAGGCAACGUGUGGAGCUCCUUUUCUCAGGCACCCACCAUCAUGUAACUCUCCUCAUCACCCAGUUUGGAGAUUUGUUCUAGAGCGGCUGUUGCAUCCCUCCUCCUCAGAUCCCCACUGCGAGGAGGAACGUGCAGAGGCCCAGAUGGGAAGGAGGCCUGGGACAGCUGAGGCUCUCUGGGACCUGGACCUCUUUGUUGCUCCUGCUUUGGCCUGAAAAGCUCCCCUGAGCCUUCAGGAAGGGCAUGCAGCCAAAGGCCCAUCGAGAAGGUAGACUCAUUUCCUUAUAAAUUAUGUGGUUAUGAGGGCGGGAGUUUCACAUGUGGCUUUUUGCAUAAUCGGGUUAUCAGGUAGUUAGCCCAUUAGAGGGCUCAUAAAUUGUCCAGCUGCUCUGACUCACAGCAUGAGGCAC
rnacentral:lncRNA from 1 species